UUUACACAUAUUUUGUAUGGCAAUGCUGUACUUUUGUACAUUUAGUAUCAACCCUGUUCAAUUGGAAAAGUACCAAAUUAAAAUUAAGGAACAAAAACACAAGAGAUUGAAAAUAAUCUCUUGUCGCGAAAUAAAAUUGUUUUCUUUCUAUUCAAAAUUUUCGUUAAAGUGAAUUUUAUUUAUUUACAAACAUUGAAAGAUCGUGUGUAACACAAAUGAACAUAUAAAGUAUGCUAUAGUAAAAAAGAUAAACAAGAAUAAGGAAGUAAAAAAUUUUCUUCAUCCAAUUUUUGCUUUGCGGGAAGUGUGAAGAGGGAUUUUUUCAUUUGUCAUCGUUUGCAACGCGAGUGGAAAUUUAAUUGAAAAGUCCGAAGAAAUUCAUGUCUGCGAGGUCACAAAUAUACAAGGCCUUUAAUUAGGUAUUCUUCAUAGGGGAUUAAUUUUGAAACUGACAACACUGUUUUAACCGAUGAACAAUGCACGACGUUUGACACGAGCAAAGCACGAAACGAGUGAACGGGCUGAAUAUUUUCCUUUUUGUAGCUUUCCUUGACGAGGAGUUAAAAAUAAAAAUUUCGCAAUGGAAGAUGUAGCAGAAAUAAAAGCAAGAACAUCAUAAUUAAAAGAAAAUUCUUUCUGAAAACAAAGAACUUGCCGAUUCUUUUGUUAAGUUUGAGUUUUUCCCAAACGCAAAGCGAAAGAUACAAGAAAGGAAAUUUAAGUGAAGUUACUCCAUUAUAUCUACAAACAACAAUUACAAUAAAAAUAUAGUAUACUGGUUCGAGGAAUUUUUCAAGAAAUUAAUCGAAUUACAUUGGCCACGGCCAAUCAUCGGCUGUAGCAACGUCCUGUUGAAAAGGAGACGACACGCAGAGAGGAAGGAUAAAGGAAGAUACCGAUCGACUUAUUUGUUUUAAGGAUUUCUACAAUAUCGUUACCAUUUAUUGUUCAAUAAUAACCUAAUACUACAAAAACAUAGUACUUGGUGGGCUACAGAUUUAUUGUUAGGUGUUAUAAG